rnacentral:misc_RNA from 1 species
GCUCUUUGUUUUUUGAAAGGGUGCUUUUAUGAGAUAGAGAUUUUUUAGAUAAUGCUUUUUUAGAUAAUGCUGGGGAAGGUUUUCCGGUUUAUCUCGGAGGGCUUGUAGCUCAGUUGGUUAGAGCGCGCGCUUGAUAAGCGUGAGGUCGGAGGUUCAAGUCCUCCCAGGCCCACCAAUUUACCUAUCCAUUUGCUUUUAUCUGUUUAUUUGCCGAUUUAUCGGUCCAUUGAAUUUAAGUGUUGGUAGCAGUUUUAUAAUGAUGAGAAAUCAUGCUUAUAAAAGAACUCCUUAUAAAAGGCUUGUUUUUAAAAUGUGACGCUUAUCCAUUUCGCUUAGGCAAGAGAAACUUCAAGCGGUUCAAAUACAAAAGGCUUUAAGUUUUGCAAAACACUUUGAAUUUUGCAAAACACUUUGAAUUUUGCAAAACACUUUGAAUUUUAAAGUGAUCCAAGUUCGUGAUCUCGAAUUUAAAAGUUUCGAAUGCUUUAUCCUUUUUUGGGGGCCGUAGCUCAGCUGGGAGAGCACCUGCUUUGCAAGCAGGGGGUCGUCGG